UCAGAUUAAACUACAACAUGAGUGUCUGUAGAUACAGAAAAUUGACGCUCAGGUAAGAUGAGUAAAUGCCUAUAAAAUUAAGAUAAAUGUAAAUAUGUGAUCCCUGGUUGUAUGUGAUCUUUCUCAAUAUACCGCAAUUUAAUACUGUCCAAAUCUCUUAAAUUAAUUAAAUUUUAAAAAAUAGGGGAAAAUUCUAUAGGGUCCAUUGGUGCCUUUCCCUCCUCUCCACCCCCUUUUUUGCCAAUGUAAAACCAGGGAGAAGACAAAGCAGAAAAGGAUGGAUUUGUUUCCCAAAAGAACAAUACACUCCAAGUGAAGAAAAAGGUAUGCUGUGCAUUUAUUUCAUCUGAGGUUUGUUGUGCGGUUGAGAAUGAGAAGGGACCAUAUGAAGAGAUGAAGAUGUAAGAUAUUGGGAAUCCUUGUUUGACUACUGCUAAGUCCACCUUGUUUUCACUUUAUCCACAGAGUAUUAAGCAAGAAGGUGGAUUAGACAAAGACACAAGGAGAAAGAAAGGGAGAAAAAGAAACCAAACCCCUAACUUGGCUCUGUUAUCUGUUAAGUCCUAGAAAAAAAAGAAGGAUGGAAGAUAGUGAAACAAAAUAAAAUUUUUAAGCUAAGUUACUGUUGUGUUCCCAGUUGCUUUCGAAAGUAAGAGGGAAUCCCAGUUGUGUGCAUAAAAGUUAAAUGAGCCCUCUUGUACUAAAUGGCAAGAGGGGUUUACGAAAUGUGCAGAUACCGAAGAGUUGGCAGCGAUAAGAUGAAGAGAUGGCCAAGAACAUCCACAAAACUUCAAUAACGUGAAGUGGCUGCAACUUCUAGCAAAACAAAUGGCAUCUAUCCACCCUAGAAGAAGACUUUAGAAAUGCUGAAUGAGAGCUCACACUGUAAGUAAACUUCUGUAGUUAUUUUGCUUUGGAGCUGGAUACAAAUCAUUUGAAAUUCCAGACAGCUGCAAUACUGUAUUUCACCAAUAAAGAGUUCAUUAGAUCUUUUUUCUCUCUGACA
rnacentral:lncRNA from 1 species